rfam:Streptococcus dysgalactiae subsp. equisimilis RE378 DNA, complete genome.
UAAGACUUAUGAAAGAGAAAACCGCCGUAUGUUUACUAUUAUGAUCAUUGGUUUAGCUGUAUUUUCAAUAAUUAAAAUCAUUCUAUUUUUCUAUUUUUAUCAGCAAUUUGAGCGCAAGCAAAAAAGAAAAGUUGAAUCCACUGACCAGCAAAAACAGGCCCAAGAAAAUGAUGCCGUCCCUUCAAAAAAAUUUCCAUUUUAAAAAGAAGCUUGGAAAGUGUACAAAGUACCACUCUCCAAGCUUCU